CCUACGGGGGGCAGCAGUGGGGAAUUUUGGACAAUGGGCGCAAGCCUGAUCCAGCUAUUCCGCGUGUGGGAAGACGGCCUUCGGGUUGUAAACCACUUUUGUAGAGAACGAAAAGUCUAUUGCUAAAACCUCUAGAUGAUGACGGUACUCUAAGAAUAAGCACCGGCUAACUACGUGCCAGCAGCCGCGGUAAUACGUAGGGUGCGAGCGUUAAUCGGAAUUACUGGGCGUAAGGGGUGUGCAGGCGGUUUUGCAAGAUGGUUGUGAAAGCCCCGGGCUUAACCUGGGAAAGCCAUCGGUGACUGGAAGACUAGAGUGCGUCAGAGGAGGGUGGAAUUCCAGGUGUAGCAGUGAAAUGCGUAGAUAUUUGGAAGAACACCGAUGGCGAAGGCAGGCCCCUGGGACGCAACUGAUGCUCAUACACGAAAGCGUGGGGAGCAAACAGGAUUAGAUACCCUUGUAGUC
rnacentral:rRNA from 1 species